ensembl:miRNA
UGGUUUUUGCUCUGAGUGACCGUGGUGGUCGUGGGAGUCACUGCAGGACUCAGCAGGAAUGC